GAUGAAGAACGUAGCAAAAUGCGAUAAGUAAUGUGAAUUGCAGAAUUCAGUGAAUCAUCGAAUCUUUGAACGCACAUUGCGCCCGCCAGCAUUCUGGCGGGCAUGCCUGUUCGAGCGUCAUUUCAACCCUCGACCUCCCCUUGGGGAGGUCGGCGUUGGGGACCGGCAGCACACCGCCGGCCCUGAAAUGGAGUGGCGGCCCGUCUGCGGCGACCUCUGCGUAGUAAUACAGCUCGCACCGGAACCCCGACGCGGCCACGCCGUAAAACACCCAACUUCUGAACGUUGACCUCGAAUCAGGUAGGACUACCCGCUGAACUUAAGCAUAUCAAUAAGCGGAGGA
rnacentral:misc_RNA from 1 species